rnacentral:lncRNA from 1 species
GUUUUUAAUCGAUCUAAUUUGAAUCGAUCUAAAUAAAACCAGUUAGCGUUCAUAUUAUCUUUAAUCAUAACGAUCUCUAUCGGUCUAAACCGAUCCACUGCGUUCACACUACAAUUAAAAACGCAAUCGAUCUAACCUUUUUACCCGUAAAACUGUAAACAUUGUGUAUAAAUAGAACUAAUUUAUUAAAUUCAUCUAUUGAUACUCUGACACACACACUUGAAAAAAAUGGAUAAAGUUAAUGUUUCUCCUGA